rnacentral:rRNA from 1 species
UACAGAGGAGCCAAGCGUUGUCCGGAUUGACUGGGCGUAAAGCGCACGCAGGCGGUCUGGCGCGUGGGGUGUGAAAUCUGGCCGCUUAACGGCCAGGCGCCAUCCCAUACGGCCGGACUGGAGGGCUGCAGAGGUCGAUGGAAUUGCCGGUGUAGUGGUGAAAUGCGUAGAUAUCAAGAGGAACACCUGCGGCGAAGGCGGGUUGCUGGGCCGACACUGACGCUGAGGCGCGAAAGCUAGGGGAGCGAACGGG